UCGUCAAUUGAACGCUGGCGGCAGGCCUAACACAUGCAAGUCGAGCGGUAGCACAGAGAGCUUGCUCUCGGGUGACGAGCGGCGGACGGGUGAGUAAUGUCUGGGAAACUGCCUGAUGGAGGGGGAUAACUACUGGAAACGGUAGCUAAUACCGCAUAAUGUCGCAAGACCAAAGUGGGGGACCUUCGGGCCUCAUGCCAUCAGAUGUGCCCAGAUGGGAUUAGCUAGUAGGUGGGGUAACGGCUCACCUAGGCGACGAUCCCUAGCUGGUCUGAGAGGAUGACCAGCCACACUGGAACUGAGACACGGUCCAGACUCCUACGGGAGGCAGCAGUGGGGAAUAUUGCACAAUGGGCGCAAGCCUGAUGCAGCCAUGCCGCGUGUGUGAAGAAGGCCUUCGGGUUGUAAAGCACUUUCAGCGGGGAGGAAGGCGUUAAGGUUAAUAACCUUGUCGAUUGACGUUACCCGCAGAAGAAGCACCGGCUAACUCCGUGCCAGCAGCCGCGGUAAUACGGAGGGUGCAAGCGUUAAUCGGAAUUACUGGGCGUAAAGCGCACGCAGGCGGUCUGUCAAGUCGGAUGUGAAAUCCCCGGGCUCAACCUGGGAACUGCAUUCGAAACUGGCAGGCUAGAGUCUUGUAGAGGGGGGUAGAAUUCCAGGUGUAGCGGUGAAAUGCGUAGAGAUCUGGAGGAAUACCGGUGGCGAAGGCGGCCCCCUGGACAAAGACUGACGCUCAGGUGCGAAAGCGUGGGGAGCAAACAGGAUUAGAUACCCUG
rnacentral:rRNA from 1 species